rnacentral:rRNA from 1 species
GUCGAAGGUGUAAGUGCAGCAAUGUAUUUAGCUUAUCGAUACUAAUAGGUCGAGGACUUGACCAA